rnacentral:rRNA from 1 species
CGCGUAGGCGGGAUGGCAAGUCGGUCGUGAAAUCCCUCGGCUCAACUGAGGAGCGUCGAUCGAUACUGCCGUUCUUGAGGGAUGCAGAGGAGACUGGAAUUCCCGGUGUAGCGGUGAAAUGUGUAGAGAUCGGGAGGAACACCGGUGGCGAAGGCGGGUCUCUGGGCAUCUCCUGACGCUGAGGCGCGAAAGCGUGGGGAGCAAACG